rnacentral:rRNA from 1 species
ACGGGGAGCACCACAACGGGUGGAGCCUGCGGUUUAAUUGGACUCAACGCCGGGAAACUCACCAGAUAAGACAGCUGAAUGAUAGUCGGGCUGAAGACUCUACUUGACUAGCUGAGAGGAGGUGCAUGGCCGUCGUCAGUUCGUACUGUGAAGCAUCCUGUUAAGUCAGGCAACGAGCGAGACCCACGCCAACAGUUGCCAGCAUGUCCUCCGGGAUGAUGGGGACACUGUUGGGACCGCCUCUGCUAAAGAGGAGGAAGGAAUGGGCAACGGUAGGUCAGCAUGCCCCGAAUUAUCCGGGCUACACGCGGGCUACAAUGGUCAGGACAAUGGGUAUCGACACCGAGAGGUGGAGGCAAUCUCCUAAACCUGUCCUUAGUUCGGAUUGUGGGCUGCAACUCGCCCACAUGAAGCUGGAAUCCGUAGUAAUCGCGUUUCAAAAUAGCGCGGUGAAUAUGUCCCUGCUCCUU